UUUCCAAGGAAUAUGUAGAAAAUACCUGGGAAUAAACCAUCUUAAAGGGUUUGGAGCUCAGCCAUUGGGGCCGAGGUGAGCUUGAAGGUUUAUGUCUCUGCUGCCAAAAAGCCUUACCUGCAGAAACACCGCCAUUUCGGGCUCGUCCAUGAACUGGAUUCCUGACUCCACCAACUUGGAUACGUUUUCCAGCACUCCUGGUAGUUGGGUUAACCAAGGUUACAAACGGGUUGUGAGGAACGUCGCCUGGACAUUUUAGGAGACGAGCAUUUUACCUAUGGAAGACAUGAACUUCUCUUUCCCCUUCAACUGU